GCCGGUGUUGCUCAGUGGAUAGAGCGUUGGCCUGAGGACUGAAGGGUCCCAGGUUCGAAUCCUGUCAAGGGCA
rnacentral:tRNA from 1 species